rfam:Triticum aestivum genome assembly, contig: Triticum_aestivum_CS42_TGACv1_scaffold_194091_3AL
CAUAUACUCCCUCCUCCCAAAAUUCUUGUCUUAUACUAGUAUUUGUCUACAUAUGGAUGUAUCUAGUCACGUUUUAGUAUUAGAUACAUCCAUAUAGACAAACAAGACAAGAAUUUUGGGAGGAGGUAAUACAUG